GCAGAAGUCAAGAACUGAAAAUGUAUAGUCAGCAACCCUCCCUACAGCCUGGCAGUGACUCUGGAAUUCCAUUUCCUCAGUGUAACAGGGGUAAUGCUUUCCUACCUCAAAAAGCACUGAGACAUGCAAUGGUUAAGCAGCCUCGAAGUUAAGCUGAAGGAUUUUGUUCAGAGUGUUUAUCCAUUCUUCCAUCUCAAUUUCACUGUCUGCAGCUAAAAGGAACCGUUGAAUGAAUGUAUCGACUCUGACGUUUCAGUAAUGCUGUCUGAUAAACAACA